GUUGAACAGGGUGGGACAGUUUUGUUUAAGUUCGCUUACUAUGUCUUACAUAGAUGCCGGAUAACCAAGCUAAUGCUCUUUCAAAUGGUUGUAUUCCCCGUGUUGUAAUGAACAGUGUACUCAAUAACAAUUAUUUGAAUAAUUGCCACAUUAAUAUGCAAAGUAUGUGUACCCGACAGAUGUCAAAAUUCAAUGAAUUCAAGUUAUGUUUCUUCCAAUGUAAAGUAGAUAUUGCCUGCAUUACAGAAAGUUGGCUUACAAGCGAUAUAAAUGACAACUUGGUCGCUCUAGAUGGGUACAAUCCCUUGAGACUCGACAGAAGCUACGGCCGUGGGGGUGGAAUUUGUGUUUAUUUUAAGUGUGAUUUUAAAUUUAAAGUUCUUUGUAAUUCCGAAUUACGAUCCGGUGUUGAGUAUUCAAAUCUUACUGAAUAUUUAUUCGUUGAAAUCCAAUAUGAACAGGACAAAUUUUUACUAGGCAUUUUUUAUAACCCUCCUAGCUCAGAUUGCUCUGAUUUAUUAUUAGAUCAAUUAUCUGAGCUGUCCGGCUGUCCGUACAAUAUCCUAACAUAGUUAUAAUAGGAGAUUUUAAUACAGAUUUAAAUAAAUCAGGCAACAAAACAUUUAAAUUCAAAAAUUCUGUUGAUUCUCUCGGAUUUGUUUGUGCAAACUCAUUUCCAACCCAUUUUCAUCAAACUGGAUAUUCUCUGAUAGAUUUGAUUCUAUCAUCCAACCAAGAAUUUGUACUAAAUGCACAACAAGUGUCAGCCCCAGCGUUUUCAAACCACGAUAUAAUUUUUUCUUCAUUGAAUAUAGCACGAAAAUCAAUCCCUGACCAUUUCAUGUACAGAGAUUACAAGAACGUAGUCCUCGGAGGGUUGACACGGGCCAUCAACUCAAUUGAUUGGUCCAUUUUUGACAGUAUUACCGACUCCGACAUAGCAGUUGAUGUUUUCAAUACAAUAUUGAGUGAUCAACAUGAUUCUUUCGUUCCACUGCGUCGUUCCAAGCCUAAACGUAAUCCUUGGUUCAAAGGGCUAUGGUUGAACGGUUGAACGUAACAUUGCGUAUCGUUUAUGGGUUUCAGAUAAGUCGACAGUAAAUCAUAACCAAUAUAAACGGUUACGAAACAAGGUACACAACUUAUCCAUAACGCCAAAUCCGAUCUUGUGACCCAAAGGAUCGACUCUUCUAACUCUUCUAAGGACUUAUGGGACAAACUAAAACAUAUUGGGGCAAUCAGUUCAUCUGCAUGUAAUAGAAAUUUUGAUAACACAAACGCGGAAAUCAAUGAGGGCGGGAGCUUCUUGACAGCUGCCGAACAACGUCAGCGUACCUAAAAAUUUUGGUCCGGGUGGUACUGUCAGAUUCAAAGCGGCAAGCGCUACUUUUGAAAAGGACGAAAUCCAAGAAUAACACACCGCACAAAACAUAUUAAAACAAUAAACAGGAAUCUUAACGUGUUGUUUUCACUUUUCUGGCGUAGGAGAACGCAAAUUAAGUUCGGCAUGAUGAAUUUUGUUUAUUAGAAUCGAAAUUUAUAUCUAUAAAACGGGUAGAGGCGCAAUAGUCGACUUUCAUAAAAAUAAUUCGAAAUGCAUGUUUUCCUCUGGUGCGGUUAAUAAGCACCUGCAAGUAAUACAUUACUACUUAUGCCAACAUUUUACAGCUGCAUAUCUGGUGGCGAAGCCAAAAAGAAGUUAAAAAUAAUCAUUUGCAAUUUUUUUUUCGAGUUUUAUCCUCGGUUUGAUUUUGUAUGUGCAGUAACAAAUUAAUAUGCACGACCGUUUAAACAUGUGCUUUUAUUACAUUUCUUACAGCAACAGAAUACAAAAUUUCAAUGAACAUUAGUUUUUGCGCUUCUGUAGAAUACGUCCUUUUGAUACGAAACGCUAGCCUCUCUUUGGCUUCCACUCACCACGCAACAAAAAGAUGUUUUCGCAUGGACAAAAAUUGUUGCGUCAGUGAAGGAUGGACCCGUUGUUUACGUACAGUAGCGACAUCUACGAUUUGCAAGUAGGUACGCGAAACUGAGCUCAUCUGUCAAGUAGUGGGGGGGUUGAUAUUUUGCUUCAAAUUUCACUGUUGAUAAUAGUACCUUACAGAUUCCUCCUGAAAAUACUCAUGGAUUUCAGUUUUCACCGAUUAGUGAUCAUGAUGUCAUUUUAGCGAUUAAAUCUAUAAAAUCUAUGCAAUUGGCAUAGAUAAUAUUCCAAUCCAGUUAAUUCGACUGAUUCUUCCUUCAAUAGUUUCUCAAAUUAGAUCCAUCUUUAACUUAAUUAUUUCUACGUCUAAAUAUCCUCGUGGUUGGAAAUUGUCCAAAGUAAUCCCAAUUCGGAAAAAACCAUCAGGAAAUUCUCUCGACAACCUUAGACCCAUAAGCAUUCUAAGUAGUUUAUCGAAAGUAUUUGAUAAAAUCCUCAAAUCACAAAUUCAGAGACAUCUAUCAAACCUCAACUUAUUGACAGAAUUUCAAUCUGGGUUUAGAGCAGGACAUAGUACUACAACUGCCUUUCUCAAAGUACAUGACGACAUACAUACUGUUAUUGACAAGAGGGGUAUCGCAUUCCUUCUUAUGAUUGAUUUUUCUAAAGCUUUUGAUGGGGUUUCUCACACGAAACUGUUGAACAAAAUGUCAUCGGAGUUUUCAUUCUCAAGAUCUGCGGUCCGUUUUAUGCAAUCAUAUCUGUCCAGCAGGUCUCAAUUUGUUUGCAUCGAUGAUUGUUACUCGGAUAGUGUCGAUAUUUUAUCCGGUGUUCCGCAAGGUUCUAAUAUCAUCAUUACCAUAGGUGUACCGUCAAUAUUGCGAUUGACUGUAUAGCCAGUUGAUAUUCGCCAAUUCGCGAACACGAAAGUUGAUGACCCGGGGAACACUGUUCCUUCCUACGGAGUAUUUUAUGGGCGCAUAAGUGAAAAAAAAAAUCCAAAAAUCUUAUCUCACUGUCUUACGGAAAAUCCCCUUGAUAGCCCCAAACCAUAUAUGGCACGGUGCGUGCCAACAGUUUUGUGUAAACUGUUUCGAAGAACGGUCGUUUGGAGCGUGGCAGAAAACAAAACCGGUUGGUGGAUUCAAUCGAUUGCGAUUUGGGCACUACUGAGUUGAGCAGUGAGAUAUUCCAAUUUUACAUAUAACUAUUCAUCGGCCUACGCCAGGGAAAAUCAGUUUUGGUUAUAGUGGUAAAUGAAUGUGAUGAUUUAAGUGAAAAGAAAGAUCAUAAAAGUAUCUUCACCGUAAAUCGUAUUCGUCAUGGAAUCCAUUAAUCCGCAAUUGUCGUUGAAGCAAGAUCUUCACAAGGAAUACAACAUUAUUCUGAUAGGCGAAACCGGCUCAGGCAAAUCAACUUUGAUAAACUAUCUGACAAAUUAUUUCCAUAACGGUACACUCGAGAAUUUGAAAAUUGCCAUUCCCACGAAGCAUCAUGAAGCAACCGAGAGUCUACAGCACCAAGAUGACAACGUUCAGGAUUCUUCAAAUGGUCAAACUAGAGCCUGUGCUGUAUAUAAUUUCAGAAAAGAGGACACGAUAUUCAACUUUAUAGACACCCCAGGGCUCAGUGAUAGCAGAGGAGCGGCUCAGGAUGACUUCAAUAUUCAGCAGAUUAUGGGAGCUGCGGAGCAGAGUGGCGUGUUGACAGCAAUUAUCCUCGUUAUAAAUGGAACGCAGAUCCGAGCCACAGUAACACUACGCAACACGUUGAGUCUGUUGAGAAGUUCAAUUCCAGAUGUCUUUCAGCAGAAUCUCGUUGUUGUUUUAACAAAUUGUUCUGCUGCUUCCGUCAACUUCGAUCUGGCACAUUUGGAACCUUGGACUAUUGCUGAGACGAACGUUUUCCACAUGAACAACUGUGCCUUCAGUAGACCAGUAUCACAAUGGAUAAACAACAAGCAUAUGAAAAAAGCCAUGGAACAUGAAUGGCAAUGCUCAAUGGAAACUAUCGAAGAAUUAAACGAAAACUUAACCAGGCUUGGUGGCAAAGCGACCGAGGCUUUUAAACAAAUGCGUAUUAACAAAUACAAAGCAAAGCAAGCACGCAAAGCAAAGAUUAUCGUACACUUCGUUAUUGCCACUCCAUGAUUGACCAGAACAAUCGAAGUUGCACAGAGAGCCAAUGAAAGAUGCUUGGGACUAGAGCUACACUUUCUCAAUGUGCACAAUUAGAGAGUUCACGUCGCCGGUCACGUCCUUACGCUCAUCGAGAAAGGGAGAAACCGUGGAAUCCACAGCAUCUCCACAGUUGGCUCGGGAAGGAGUAUUUGUUAGUAAGGUAAGGUAAGGUAUGGAUCUUGGAGUCACCAUUGGUAGGUGAUAUGAUCCACUAGUUAUAUAAAUGAACAAUACACGUCGCGGUA